GUGCUCACUUUGGCAGCACAUAUGAUAAAAUUGGACCAGUGUAGAGAAGAUUAGCAUGGCCCCUGUGCAAGGAUGACAUUCACAUUCAUGAAGUAUUCUAUUAUAAA